rnacentral:lncRNA from 1 species
AGAGCUUGAAGCUUUUUCCAGGCAACUGAGUCAACUGUUCAGUCCUGCAACAUCUGUCCUUCUCCGUGCCCUGCCUUUCCAGUCUUUGCAGCACUGAUGGCUACCUGCUGUUUAUUACUUCAGUGAUGGCUUCUGUGUCUGCACGUAGGGGUCUUCCGAGUCUCUGCUGCUUUUGGCCAUGGGGCCAUGGGGAGGAGAGUUAGAAGUGACUGUGCCUGCCGUUUUUUUCAAGGCUGCUCUGCAAAUUUCUUUGAAUCUCAGUGAAACUGAUAAGGACUAGACAUUUACUGUGCUGAGACUGUGCCAGACUGAUUUCUGAGAAAUCUCCGUCAGUUGUAUGACACUCUGAAGACCAUGAGUUUCAACUUGCAUUAAAAAUGCCAGAAAGGAUCAAGAUAGAACAUAGUCCUGAAAUGUUCAGGUGGCUAGAUGGAAGAAUUAGAAAUCUCACCAAAACGCCCGUCCAGCGCUCGGCCAAUUUUGCAGACCAGCUCUUGCCAGGGCUUACCCAAACCCCUCUGAAAUUCCAUCCGAAGUCUUUGAAGCCCUUCUGGAAAGGGAGAAGCGAAACCCUCAGCUUCAUUAAAAUGAGGAUCUAUAUAGAUCAUACUAUCAUCUGUGGGAAAGAUGGGAAAGACCAGAAGAUACGACAAGCCUCUGAGCUAUACUGA